rnacentral:rRNA from 1 species
UACAGAGGGUGCAAGCGUUAAUCGGAAUUACUGGGCGUAAAGCGUGCGUAGACGGUUGUGUAAGUCGGAUGUGAAAGCCCCGGGCUCAACCUGGGAAUGGCAUUCGAGACUGCAUAGCUAGGAUGCGGAAGAGGGAAGUGGAAUUUCCGGUGUAGCGGUGAAAUGCGUAGAUAUCGGAAGGAACACCAGUGGCGAAAGCGACUUCCUGGUCCAGCAUCGACGUUCAGGCACGAAAGCGUGGGGAGCAAACAGG